GAGUUUGAUCCUGGCUCACGACGAACGCUGGCGGCGUGCCUAAUACAUGCAAGUAGAACGCUGACUACUUUAGCUUGCUAGAGUAGAAGGAGUUGCGAACGGGUGAGUAACGCGUAGGUAACCUGCCUACUAGCGGGGGAUAACUAUUGGAAACGAUAGCUAAUACCGCAUAACAGUGUUUAACACAUGUUAGAUGCUUGAAAGAUGCAAUUGCAUCACUAGUAGAUGGACCUGCGUUGUAUUAGCUAGUUGGUGGGGUAACGGACCACCAAGGCGACGAUACAUAGCCGACCUGAGAGGGUGAUCGGCCACACUGGGACUGAGACACGGCCCAGACUCCUACGGGAGGCAGCAGUAGGGAAUCCUCGGCAAUGGGGGCAACCCUGACCGAGCAACGCCGCGUGAGUGAAGAAGGUUUUCGGAUCGUAAAGCUCUGUUGUAAGAGAAGAACGUGUGUGAGAGUGGAAAGUUCACACAGUGACGGUAACUUACCAGAAAGGGACGGCUAACUACGUGCCAGCAGCCGCGGUAAUACGUAGGUCCCGAGCGUUGUCCGGAUUUAUUGGGCGUAAAGCGAGCGCAGGCGGUUGAAUAAGUCUGAAGUUAAAGGCAGUGGCUUAACCAUUGUUCGCUUUGGAAACUGUUAAACUUGAGUGCAGAAGGGGAGAGUGGAAUUCCAUGUGUAGCGGUGAAAUGCGUAGA
rnacentral:rRNA from 1 species